UACGUAGGGGGCAAGCGUUAUCCGGAUUUACUGGGUGUAAAGGGAGCGUAGGCGGCAUGGUAAGCCAGAAGUGAAAACCCGGGGCUCAACCCCGCGGAUUGCUUUUGGAACUAUCAGGCUGGAGUGCUGGAGGGGUAAGCGGAAUUCCUAGUGUAGCGGUGAAAUGCGUAGAUAUUAGGAGGAACACCGGUGGCGAAGGCGGCUUACUGGACAGAAACUGACACUGAGGCUCGAAAGCGUGGGGAGCAAACAGG
rnacentral:rRNA from 1 species